AGAACGAACGCUGGCGGCAGGCCUCAAACAUGCAAGUCUAGGGGGCGUAGCAAUACGUCACCGGCGGACGGGUGCGUAACACGUGGGAAUGUACUUACUGGUUCGGAACAACUCAGGGAAACUUGAGCUAAUACCGAAUGUGCCCGAAAGGGGAAAGAUUUAUCGCCAGUAAAUCAGCCCGCGUCCGAUUAGCUAGUUGGCGGGGUAAAGGCCCACCAAGGCGACGAUCGGUAGCUGUUCUGAGAGGAAGAUCAGCCACACUGGGACUGAGACACGGCCCAGACUCCUACGGGAGGCAGCAGUUGGGAAUCUUGGACAAUGGGGGAAACCCUGAUCCAGCCAUGCCGCGUGAGUGAUGAAGGCCUUCGGGUUGUAAAACUCUUUCGACGGGGACGAUAAUGACGGUACCCGUAGAAGAAGCUCCGGCUAACUUCGCGCCAGCAGCCGC
rnacentral:rRNA from 1 species